rnacentral:rRNA from 1 species
GUGGGGAAUUUUCCGCAAUGGGCGAAAGCCUGACGGAGCAAUGCCGCGUGGAGGUGGAAGGCCUACGGGUCGUCAACUUCUUUUCUCGGAGAAGAAACAAUGACGGUAUCUGAGGAAUAAGCAUCGGCUAACUCUGUGCCCG